GACGUCGAUGUGUCCGUUACACUGGCAGGGCCUGCAGGCACGCCGCUCGCCGCUAGCGCCCGUCGGGUCGCCGUAAAACCCCUCCUGACAGACAUCGCAGCGGAAACCUGCAGGAGGAACAGACUCAAUGUCAUCAUCACAUCAUCAGAUUAUUACUAUUAUCCGACUGGGUUUAGAAUCUAUAGACCCUUGUACUGUUUGUACACAAUGAUGAUGUAGAAAGUAUGCACGCAGUCUGUCAUCAGAAGUGGUGUUGUUCUCCACUCAUUCUGAAUGACAAAGAAGCAUUUAUAAGCAUUUACAAACUGUUCCCAGCAUCAACAUGUCUGGUUGUUGCCUAUACGGUUGUAUGAAUCGCUAUUCCACCUGUGGACUAAAGUUUUAUAGGAUCCCGACAGGACCACGACCAUUUCAGAGCAACCGGCGGCGUCUGUGUCUGCAGGCGGUUAAACACGUGGACUGGAAUGAGGACAUAAGCAGAAAUGCUGGCGUCUGCAGCGCCCACUUUAUAUCAGUGACAUCACCGACCUGUGGCUCCAGCCGGGCAGCGUUCACAGCGCGGCUGCAGUGAGCCGUGAGGCAGCGAGCAGGACACGCCGUCCGGACAGGGGCACUUCACGCAGCUGCGGAGCUGCCAGGGGUCACGGUAGAAGCCCUGGGAGCAGCUCUGCUCGCCGGGUGUCUCGUCUGCAGAGUAACAGUCUCCCGUCUGCGGGUCGCAGCUGCCUCCUCUGCACUUGCACGGCUCGCAGCUGCUGAACGAUCCGUCUGCGGGCCGGCUGCGUCUGAAGCCCACCGAGCAGCGUUCGCAGAAGUCGCCCUCAUAACCCGGCGGGCAGCUGCAGGUCUGAACCCAGCUGGCUGGGGCGCCGUCACCACGCUGCGCAGACACCAGCUUCACAUUGUCCAGGUAACCACGGCCUGGAAGACAGAAAAAAACACAAAAUGUCAUUAAAGCAAGCAGCGAUGAACGGACCUGAGCAAAGUGGAGUCGUCGGGGGAGCCAGCCAUGCUAGGUCCACCGAUUGUUGAAGGGGCGAGAUAAUCAAGGACUCUCUGCUGAGUACACUGGCACCUCAUGGGACAAUGGAGCGCAGGUCGCCCAGCGAGGACGCCACCCGCAGGCCGCCACCCUCCAACACCACGUCACUGGUGGACGGGUGACGGACGCCACGGUCCAGACGCAGAGAGAAGGACAAGUUCUGACCGUAACUCAGC